GAUUUAUUUGUUUUAGUAAUAUUUUAUGUGUAGUUAACGUGGUAAAGUUAUUAUUUUAAGAGUAAAUGGUAGUGAAAUGCUAUUCGAUUUGUAUGAUAGCUAGUUUAUUUAUUUUUACAUUUUAGUGUUAGUUAAAAAUUAUUUAUGGUUGGUAGUUUUUUUAGUUUAAGUAUUGGGGGAUAAGCUUCAUAUAUUAUUGUAAGAAUGUAUAUAAUAAGAUGAUUAAUUGAAGUUGAAUUAAUAUUUUUUCUUUAUUGUUAUUUUUAAUGUUAUUUAUAUUAUUAAAUUUUCUUUAUAGCAGUUGGAUAAAUAUCUUUUAAUUAUAAAAAGUGAAAUAUAAUGUUAGAAUGAGUAUUUUUGGAUGGUAUAUAUAAUUAGUUUUAUUUUUAGUAUUUGAAUUUAAAGUUAAUUAAUAUAAAUAUAGGUUUAUAUAUUAAAGUAAAUUAAAGGAAUUUGGCAAGGAUAAAUUUCGCCUGUUUAUCAAAAACAUGUCUCUUUGAGUUUUUUUAAUGAAGAG
rnacentral:rRNA from 1 species